CAGGUUUUAUAUCGAAUUCAAUCUCUUGAAAACGAUACAGAGAAGAUUAGCAUGGCCCCUGCGCAAAGGAGGACACGCAAUUUUCUCUCCAGACGUUCCAUGUUUCA